GCAGCCGCGCAGCCGAUGGCAGCGUCCUCUCCCGCCGUCGCUGUGGGCUCGGAGCUGCCGCCGGAGCCGGGCGGCAGCGGGGGCCCCGGCGAGGGGGCGGACCGGGACCGGGAGCUGCUGCUGGCGCGACUGGUGCCCGCGAGCCGCCUGAAGGAAGCGGUGGGCGCGUCCCUGGCGUCGCUGUGCCUUGGCCCCCUCGGCGGAGCGCAGCGCCUCGGGACCCUCGUGGACUGCCUGGUGCUCAACUACCGCCUGCGGCAGGGGCCGGGCCGGGGCCGGGAGCGCGAGGCCGAGGGGUCGCUGCGCUGCUGCGGCUGCGGGAGGUUCCUGGGCGAGCCGGUGACCGUCCCGUGCGGGCACACCUACUGCCGCCGCUGCCUCCGCAGGGAGCUGCGGGCCCGCUGCCGCCGCUGCCGGGACUGGCUGCUGCCGGCGGGGGGCACCAGCACGGCCGCGGGCCCCCUGCGCACCAGCGUCGUCCUCAACCGGCUGGCGGAGAAGUGGUUCCCGGGCGAGUGCGAGCGGGCGAGGGCCGGGAGCAGGUUGGAGGAGCUGCUGGCCCAGGGCCGCUUCCGAGAUGCGCUGAGCGCCGCCGGCCAGGCCCUGCGAGCAGAUUCCAGUGACUUGAUGCUUAGGAUUUACAGAGCUGAGUCAUAUGUUGGCCUCCAAGAAUAUAAAGCAGCCAUAGAAGAUCUAAAUUUUGUUAUUUCUAAAAUGCCAAAUUGGCCAGAGGUCUACUUCCGGAAAGGAAAAGUGCUGCAAGACUCUGGCUUUGUAGGUGAUGCCUUACAACUGUUUCUACAGUGCUUAGCCCUUGAUGAGGACUUUCUUCCAGCCAAGCUAGAAGUAGAAAAGACAUUGUGUGAUGUUUUGUCACCAGAGAAGCUAGGUGAGAGUUUGAAGGAAUCUGCUUGGAAUUCAGCCCAUAUUCGAAAUAAACCUUUUCUGCUUGGUUCUGACAUGACUGUGUCUUACUGCAACUUACAGCUUUGUCCUCAGCAGAGUUCAGGAGGGUCAGAUGUACUGAAGCCUGUCAGUGGAGGCUUAAAUCGUGCACAGUCUGCCCAUGCUCUUAAUUCAACAAAAGACCUUGCCAAGGAAGAUGGCUUGAAGAGAGUGUCUUCUGAACCCCUUCUCUCUGGCCAAGGAAAAAGUGCUUUGUUAAAAAGAAAGCUUUCAUUUUCAGAACAGGAUACAGUUGUAUGUGAAGAUGGAAGAAACAAACACAAAAAGCAAGGAGAAGGUACAAAAAGGGACGUGACACUGGCUUUUGGAACAAUUCCAGGGGAUAUGAUUGAUGUAUCAGAUUUUGAAUGCUCUCUAUGUAUGAGGCUAUUCUUUGAGCCAGUGACAACCCCUUGUGGACAUACUUUUUGCAAAGGUUGUUUGGAACGGUGUUUAGAUCAUGCUCCACAGUGUCCACUUUGUAAGGAGAGCUUGAAAGAGUACCUUGCAAGCAGAAAAUAUAGUAUCACAAAACUGCUGGAGGAAUUAAUAGUGAAAUACUUGUCUGAUGAAUUAUAUGAGAGAAAAAGAAUUCAUGCUGAAGAAACUGCUGAACACUCCAACUUGACCAAGAAUGUUCCAAUGUUUGUUUGCACUAUGGCAUAUCCUACUGUGCCUUGCCCUCUACAUGUAUUUGAGCCAAGAUACCGACUCAUGAUUCGCAGGAGUAUGGAAACUGGAACUAAACAGUUUGGGAUGUGCAUAAGUGAUUCUCAAAAUGGUUUUGCAGAUUAUGGUUGCAUGCUGCAAAUAAGGAACGUUCAUUUUCUACCUGAUGGACGGUCUGUUGUUGAUACAGUUGGUGGAAAGAGAUUUAGAGUUUUACGGAGAGGGAUGAAAGAUGGGUAUUGCACUGCAGACAUUGAAUAUUUGGAAGAUGUUAAGGUUGCUGAUGAAGAAGAACUAAAGAAAUUGAGAGAGCUUCACAAUUUUGUUUACAAUCAGGCCUGCAGUUGGUUCCAAAACUUAAGGAACAAAUUUCGCACUCAAAUUCUUCAGCACUUCGGGCCAAUGCCUGACAGGGAGGAAAAUAUACAGUAAAUCCAGAAGCUGCUGUUUAACCUACAUUAAGGUUGUGAGCACUUCAUGAUGUAACUGACGUGACUCAGUUCUGACUGAGGGCUCCUUGCAGGGACUUCCACAGCCCCUCCUAUUUCCUCUGCCAGUAUAUCAGACCCGUUUUAGCUGACUGCUGCCUGCCGGAUGAAGUCCCAAAGUCUCAGAAGCAACGAGUGCCUGUGGAAGACAGCCUGUUCAUUUUUUUCUGAAAAAAGACUUGAACUUGAUGCUUGAUAUUCAGAAGCAUCUGUUGAGCUUCUGGCAACUUGUUUGCUGUACUAUUUUUCUGUGAAGAUACCCUCCUACUGGUGAUGAUAUCUGUCAGCAGGAGGGGAGAGAGAAAAGCUGUUACAGUUAAUUCUUUUACCAAGUUCCACACAAAUACAUCUUCACUCCUUCUUAAAAGACGCUUUGAAUUUUACCUUCCACACGCAUCAACAAAUCUUCUAAUAUCUUCUUUACACUCAGGACAUACUUUUCAGGAAAUAAAUCCUGCAGAAAGCUCCCCACCCUAGCUGAACUGACAUUUCGUAGUUGUCAUGAUGUCCAUACAGAAGAAAGUUAACAGAGCCUGUCUGAGGCCUGCUACAAGACUCUUGAGGCAGAAACCCAAAGCUCUAGAGCCAACCUCUGUUGUGGUUACUUAAGGAAAUAAACUGAGACAGUGUGGGGGAAAAGGGGAAAUUAAGAUCUUCCCUUCCUACAGAUCUCUGCAUGCCUGUGGUGGUUAAAGCACUCUUCUGAAAAUGAAAGGAAAGGUUAAGUUUUGUCCUUUCCCCCAGCAGAAAGGGGAUCAAGUUGCUUAUAACCAGGGUGUUUGUUCUAACAUGUAGUACAGUGCAGGUUAUGUUUUGUGUAGAUGGGUGACUGAGUAUCCUGAUAAGGCUUAGGUGAGUACCAGGCUGUUCUGCCCUGUUAAGUCCUAAAGUGCUUCUGCUUUUGCAAAAGCACAACAGCAGGUGCUUAAGUGGCUUUAGGUCUCUCCUGCCCAAGCAGCCAUUGCACAGCAACACUGAGGAGCUUUGAAUGCACACACUUAGAUCUGAAAUGGAGCAGGGAUUUGGGAACUGGGACUGCAACAUCAUUCUUGAGGUACUUAAACUCUGAUAGAAAUUCAGGGUUUGUGUUGGAUUUUUUUAUUUUGCUUUUUAUCAACCAUCUAUGAAACUUGAAAGCUUUUUCCUUUUGCAUGUACCUUGAAACAAAUCUUGAUUGUUCAAACAACCUUUACACCUUAUUUUUGUCUGAGCCCAGAAAUUGAUCAUUCUCAUGUGUAAGCUUUUGGAAGUUUUGAACAGGAAGUGCUCUGAAAAUGCAUGACAUGACAACUGCAACACAAUCCAAAUACAGUGCAACUGGCACCUCUGAUUUUAUUUUGAAACAUGGCUCAAGAUUUCUGACACUAUUUCACAAUUAAGUUGCAUUGCUAAAGAAAUCACUGAGGCUGUGAGAGGAGGUCCAAAUGCCCACUCCAGUGAGGGAACAAUCGUGAUUUUUCAUGAGUAUGAAUUACUUCAAAACAGGGACUCCCUUAAUGCCAUCCCCAAGAAACCUAAAGCACAUCCUUGGCCAUCAGCUCAUUUUUGCAGCUCCCCCCCAGGCAAUGGAUAUUGAAACCAUACUUUCACUGUCCUGUAUAGGCACUUUAACCUUUGAGCUGUGGAUGAAUAACAAACCAGUGGAAGCUGUGACUUGAUUUUUCCCAGAAUGUUUUUUUUGGGGGGAGUUGAAUUUUUUUGGAAACAAAGUGAUAUAAAAACUGAGCACCGGAUGUCACUCACCUGUACCUGAAGCAAUGUAGAAUGUAAACCAAGUUCUGCCCUCAGCACUUUCCUCUCCUGAGUCCAAAAAGUUCUUCGCUAAUAUCUUUUAAGAACAUAUACUGUUAAACAGGUAACUCUGCUAAUUAGGACAUGAUCUAGUCCAGGGUCCUAGGUUCCACAGCAGAUGCUUAAAAAUUAGACUUCCAUUACAACUCAAUUUACAAAAUACAAAUAAACCUCAGUAACUGCUCUAUGUAAUAGUUUCUGUGAAGAUAAAAGCACAUUUCAAGGUAAGAAUUUGUUGGGAUUGUUUGUAAAAUUGGACCAAAAAAAGCACAAGGGCUAAAAGAGAAUUUCUGACUGAAGCGAUUUUCAGGUUAUUGCAUCAGUGUAACAGUUGGAAUGCUGAAUCAAGGGGAAUUAUGUUCAUUUCACAGCAAAAGCUUCGUGAAGAAGUUCCAGCUGAACUAAACCACUGAUAUACAACACUUCGGCCUUUAGGACAACUACAUUAAGUCCUUGCAGAUAUGAUAGACUUUGCAAGUUUUGUCUGCUGAUCACAGCAACACGCUGUUAAUGUUGGCUGCUGUGUCUUACUGCUUCUUUGCAAGGCAACUGCUCAAGCAAGGAUUUGCUUCUGCGAGUUCAGUACAGACUGCACAAAAAAA